AUUGAACGCUGGCGGCAGGCCUAACACAUGCAAGUCGAGCGGAUGAGGAGAGCUUGCUCUCUGAUUUAGCGGCGGACGGGAGAGUAAUGCCUAGGAAUCUGCCUGGUAGUGGGGGAUAACGUCCGGAAACGGGCGCUAAUACCGCAUACGUCCUACGGGAGAAAGCAGGGGACCUUCGGGCCUCGCGCUAUCAGAUGAGCCUAGGUCGGAUUAGCUAGUUGGUGAGGUAAUGGCUCACCAAGGCUACGAUCCGUAACUGGUCUGAGAGGAUGAUCAGUCACACUGGAACUGAGACACGGUCCAGACUCCUACGGGAGGCAGCAGUGGGGAAUAUUGGACAAUGGGCGAAAGCCUGAUCCAGCCAUGCCGCGUGUGUGAAGAAGGUCUUCGGAUUGUAAAGCACUUUAAGUUGGGAGGAAGGGCAGUAAGUUAAUACCUUGCUGUUUUGACGUUACCGACAGAAUAAGCACCGGCUAACUUCGUGCCAGCCGCCGCCGUAAUAC
rnacentral:rRNA from 1 species